AAAAAGCAGGAACGGCGCCGGAGAACUCCUACCCCCCUUCAUCGUUACUUGACGGGGCUGGUCGCUUUGAGCCGCGGCUGCCCCACGCACGACAGCGCCGGCCCACGCGCGCCUCUCCCGCUGAUGGCCGAAUAAGACACCCGUCGUGUUUCCCCUACACGGGUUUAAGCGAAACCGACUUUUCCUAAUGCGGAAGGGGGGAGGCUUUCCGGUCGCUUCCUCAGGGCUUAGACCCCUGGCCUGGGGGUCUCUGCUGGUGCUGAGCUCUUCCCGCCAAAACCCUCUCACCUACAGUUUGGGCGCCAAAACCGCCUUCCCUUUCCGCCGCCGUGAAGCGUCCCGGUCGAGGGCGGGGGUUGCCACCGGCCCGCCGGACUUUCCUUUCGGCAGCGGCCGUGUCGCUCGGGGGAGGGGGUGCGGGGUAGGUAGAGAGAGAGGGGGGCCCUUUCCGCUCGCUAGUCGCCCCCCGAGUGAAAAGCCGGGCGUCCACAGGCUGUGAGGGCUCAUACACCCGACGGCCGCAGCGGUGGGUCCGUUCCCGCAACUUGCUUUGCCUUUGGUGGUUUAUGUUGAACGUUUCCAGAAAAUGCGGUUUCUUUCCACCGGGGAAUGUGGCGACAUGCCUUCCUGCAAAUUUCGGAGACCAGAGUUGGUCGUCCCCAGCCACCGCCCAACUCUCAUUACUCUCUGUGUUAUGCCCUUGGGAUUUUUUUUUUUUUUUUUUUUUUAACAAACCAUCUUUGGGGAGAUUAACUUUAAGUACGGGUUCAGCGAGCCCCGCUGCCACCCAGUUGUGUGCUUUGCCUGGCUGGGGAAGAUGAGAGACGGGAUUAUCCUCGACGUGCCUCUGCGGGGUAUGAAGUAACCCGGUUUAUAACAGUGCCGUCGCACCGCACCCGUUUGGAACGACUCCUCUAUUCGGGAAAUCCCGUUCUCAGGCGCAGUGGGCGCCUUUCUCCCCCACACCCCGCCCACCGACUGCAACUGGAGCACGAUUUUGGGAGCCCCUCCAGCAGCUGCCCAGCGCCCCUCAGCCCUUACGCCUGCGGUAGGUGCCAUUCGCCCUCACCCCCGCGGGCGCGCACAGCUUCCCGGAGCCCGGCUCUGUCUUCUUUACGCAGACGGGGCGGCCCUCGCAGGAGGAGUCACGCCGCAGUUUGCAGGCGCCGCUAUUUUAAUUGACGGCCGGAGCGUGGAUUCAAACAUACGUUUUACUGACGUUUUGCGUUGAAGUGAAAAGCGGCGACUGUCAGUGCCGCAGAGCCUCCCGGCGCGGUCCACCCCCCCGUUCUGUGGACCUCUGCCGGCAGCGCCAGCGGUUUGCGACAAGUUUAUAAAAUACUAGAAAUCUCUUAAUCCCGCGCGUGAUCCGAGGGCAGGAGGGUGCGGGAGGCACCCACUCGGACAGCUCUGCUGCAGGAUGUGGUCCCAAGUACAUUAACCGUCUCUCAGCUGUGGAUUUGGAGCCAAUAGCGACCGCUUCCCCGGCGGAUUUAAGGAGACUCUAGCCAGUCGUCGUGGGAGACUGUCCGACGGGGUUCACACCCCGCAGGGAUGACCGGCCCUUGUAGAGGCAGCGGCCCCAAGUAACCGUGCCGGCGGCCGGCGCCCCAGUUUCACCACUUAACUCCCGCCGUGCAAGCGGAGGACGAAGAGCGGGCGGCUCCGCGCCUCAGGUGCUCUCGUUCCAGCCCCUGUCCGCGCCCGGUCUCGGUGCCGCGUCCCAGCGGGGCGCACAUCCUUCCCGCUGGGCAACCGCCUAAGCGUUCGCGGGCGCCGCGCGGCAGCCUGAGCCAGUCCGGCUGUGACACAGGCAGCGCCCUCCGCCCCAGCACACAGGUAAAGCCUGACCGCUGCCAGCGCCAGCUCCGGGCUAUUUACCGCCGCACCGAGCGCUCCCCGUUGCACAGGACAGGGGAGUUUCGGGGCGGCGGGCUCGGCCUCACCUCCCUUGGGCACGCAGCGCCUCUCCGCGGGGGAGCACCGACCCCUGGCCCGCCGCCGUGCGCAUGCGCGGCUGGGCCCGUUGGGGACCGCACCCCACGGCCGGCCGGGAAAGCCGGGACGGGCGGCCAGCGGGACCGGUUUGGGCUGCGCUUGGGAGAAGCGGCGCCGCGAUCGGAAGGGGCUCCGUGGCGGUAACGCCCGGCCGGCGCUGAAACGUGACAGCGGCAUGAAAGUAACUCGAGGAGUUACAAUUGCAGUCGGGAACUGAGAUGUGUACGGCCAUCGAAGCAGAACACUCAAACAACAUAACGCAAUAAUUCCAAAGCUUGUGCACAAAAUUAGUGAUCUCCCCCUCAAGAAUUAAAUUCAUCCGAGUCAGAGGGACAGAGGUGCUGCAGGACCAGGACCUCAGUUUCACAGAUACUAAGUCAGCCAUGUAAGACGCUAUAGAGAAGACUGACCUGAGCCUGAGGAGACCUUCUUGAAUGACCUCAUCGUCUUCUGAGGAACCUAAAAUCAGAGAGCUGGAGUCAGUACUGUGCACAUUUUACCAGAGUACCAUAUUUAAUUACCUCUUCUCCAGUUUAACGGCUCAUUAGAAGGCCAUAAAAUGUCAGGGCAUUGACUCUGUGAAGUGACCUGUAAACUUACUGUUUGAGACUUACCUAGCUCAUCAGAACCACAAUAAGAUGACCAAUGCAUAAGGUAAAAAUCAGCCGCUUCCUUUUUUUUUAAGUGUCCCUAAAAGCAUUGCCCCUUUCAUUGGUCUCUUAGGAAAGCUAUGCAGUUGAUGACAAGAGGGAAAAGACACAGAUUUGCAGGAUAUUGGAAGGUGUUUGUUUCCUUUAUCAAUAUUUAAUUGCAAUAGGUAACCUAAGAGCUAGUAAGUUGUCUUUACUACACUUAAAUUGUACAAAUGAAGCAAUCAGUCAGACCUUGUGUAUGAUUUUAAAAAAAGAAAAGGAGUCUUUCAUGGUAAAAAUCUUAACGCGAUGCAAUAGAAAAAUGCUUUCAAUUAUGUCAGUUAUAACACUGCAGAGUGUAAUAUGUAUCAGUAUUAAAUUCUAGGUCUCAAUCUGAACAAAACCAAUUAGUUAUAAAAAUACAGAUGUGUGACUUGAUUGAAACUACAUGAUAGAUGUACUUUUGAUCUAGUUGAGCAAGGCUUGGCUAAUUUUGUAUAAUGUCAAUUAAAAUCUCAUUCAGGAAACAAGUACUGUACAUGAUGGGAAGCAUGAAGGAAAAGACUUUGGUUCUGGAGUAAGCGUGUUACUUCGUCUGUCCAGUUUGUUUAGUAAAUGAAAGAUGCAUAGGAACACACAGAAACUCACCUGCUACAAGCCUGUCCUCUUGUCACCCUCUACUGUCUUUUGAAUAAUCUAUUUUAACUAAGACCCAUGCAAAACAAGCAUGGAAUUGCAUUAUCCUCCUGAUUAGGUAUAAGCCAAAUUCUCGUAUCUUUUAGAGAAAUAUGAGAUUUGUCUUUUUCCAAUUUAAGGGCACAUCCUGAUAGUUAUCCUGCUCUCUUACUAAAAAACAUGAGAUAUUCCACUAGGACUGAGCAAAACCAGAAAAAAAAAUUACCAAAGACAACUGGGAAUUUCUCUAACUUCUUUUCCCCUACAGUCAGCUAUCCCUUGUCCUUUCCAACACCAGGAACUGAAAAGGGGAUGGUAUAGUCUUUCUUUUCAAUGCAAUGACACUGGCAAGCUGAUUCAGUUCCUCUUCUUUUGUAGUAAUUAAGUUUUCCACUGGAACUAUGUGGACUUUUGCCUUAUAUUAAACCUAACUCUACUUUUACACCUUCAGGCAUUGAAGCC